rnacentral:rRNA from 1 species
UACGAAGGGGGCUAGCGUUGUUCGGAAUUACUGGGCGUAAAGCGCGUGUAGGCGGGUCUUUUAAGUCAGGGGUGAAAUGCCAGGGCUCAACCUUGGAACUGCCUUUGAUACUGGAGACCUUGAGUCCGGGAGAGGUGAGUGGAAUUGCGAGUGUAGAGGUGAAAUUCGUAGAUAUUCGCAAGAACACCAGUGGCGAAAGGCGGCUCACUGGCCCGAUACUGACGCUGAGGCACGAAAGCGUGGGGAGCAAACAGG